UACGUAGGGUGCAAGCGUUGUCCGGAAUUAUUGGGCGUAAAGAGCUCGUAGGCGGUCUGUCGCGUCUGCUGUGAAAACUCGGGGCUUAACCCCGGGCCUGCAGUGGGUACGGGCAGACUAGAGUGCGGUAGGGGAGACUGGAAUUCCUGGUGUAGCGGUGAAAUGCGCAGAUAUCAGGAGGAACACCCGUGGCUAAGGCGGUUCUCUAGUACGGUACUGACGCUGAGACGCGAAAGCGUGGGGAGCGAACAGG
rnacentral:rRNA from 1 species